rnacentral:rRNA from 1 species
GGGUUGUGAGGUUAAGCGACUAAGCGUACACGGUGGAUGCCCUGGCAGUCAGAGGCGAUGAAGGACGUGCUAAUCUGCGAUAAGCGUCGGUAAGGUGAUAUGAACCGUUAUAACCGGCGAUUUCCGAAUGGGGAAACCCAGUGUGUUUCGACACACUAUCAUUAACUGAAUCCAUAGGUUAAUGAGGCGAACCGGGGGAACUGAAACAUCUAAGUACCCCGAGGAAAAGAAAUCAACCGAGAUUCCCCAGUAGCGGCGAGCGAACGGGGAGGAGCCCAGAGCCUGAAUCAGUGUGUGUGUUAGUGGAAGCGUCUGGAAAGGCGCGCGAUACAGGGUGACAGCCCCGUACACAAAAAUGCACAUACUGUGAGCUCGAUGAGUAGGGCGGGACACGUGGUAUCCUGUCUGAAUAUGGGGGGACCAUCCUCCAAGGCUAAAUACUCCUGACUGACCGAUAGUGAACCAGUACCGUGAGGGAAAGGCGAAAAGAACCCCGGCGAGGGGAGUGAAAAAGAACCUGAAACCGUGUACGUACAAGCAGUGGGAGCCUCUUUAUGGGGUGACUGCGUACCUUUUGUAUAAUGGGUCAGCGACUUAUAUUCUGUAGCAAGGUUAACCGAAUAGGGGAGCCGAAGGGAAACCGAGUCUUAACUGGGCGUUAAGUUGCAGGGUAUAGACCCGAAACCCGGUGAUCUAGCCAUGGGCAGGUUGAAGGUUGGGUAACACUAACUGGAGGACCGAACCGACUAAUGUUGAAAAAUUAGCGGAUGACUUGUGGCUGGGGGUGAAAGGCCAAUCAAACCGGGAGAUAGCUGGUUCUCCCCGAAAGCUAUUUAGGUAGCGCCUCGUGAAUUCAUCUCCGGGGUAGAGCACUGUUUCGGCAAGGGGGUCAUCCCGACUUACCAACCCGAUGCAAACUGCGAAUACCGGAGAAUGUUAUCACGGGAGACACACGGCGGGUGCUAACGUCCGUCGUGAAGAGGGAAACAACCCAGACCGCCAGCUAAGGUCCCAAAGUCAUGGUUAAGUGGGAAACGAUGUGGGAAGGCCCAGACAGCCAGGAUGUUGGCUUAGAAGCAGCCAUCAUUUAAAGAAAGCGUAAUAGCUCACUGGUCGAGUCGGCCUGCGCGGAAGAUGUAACGGGGCUAAACCAUGCACCGAAGCUGCGGCAGCGACGCUUAUGCGUUGUUGGGUAGGGGAGCGUUCUGUAAGCCUGCGAAGGUGUGCUGUGAGGUAUGCUGGAGGUAUCAGAAGUGCGAAUGCUGACAUAAGUAACGAUAAAGCGGGUGAAAAGCCCGCUCGCCGGAAGACCAAGGGUUCCUGUCCAACGUUAAUCGGGGCAGGGUGAGUCGACCCCUAAGGCGAGGCCGAAAGGCGUAGUCGAUGGGAAACAGGUUAAUAUUCCUGUACUUGGUGUUACUGCGAAGGGGGACGGAGAAGGCUAUGUUGGCCGGGCGACGGUUGUCCCGGUUUAAGCGUGUAGGCUGGUUUUCCAGGCAAAUCCGGAAAAUCAAGGCUGAGGCGUGAUGACGAGGCACUACGGUGCUGAAGCAACAAAUGCCCUGCUUCCAGGAAAAGCCUCUAAGCAUCAGGUAACAUCAAAUCGUACCCCAAACCGACACAGGUGGUCAGGUAGAGAAUACCAAGGCGCUUGAGAGAACUCGGGUGAAGGAACUAGGCAAAAUGGUGCCGUAACUUCGGGAGAAGGCACGCUGAUAUGUAGGUGAAGCGACUUGCUCGUGGAGCUGAAAUCAGUCGAAGAUACCAGCUGGCUGCAACUGUUUAUUAAAAACACAGCACUGUGCAAACACGAAAGUGGACGUAUACGGUGUGACGCCUGCCCGGUGCCGGAAGGUUAAUUGAUGGGGUUAGCGGUAACGCGAAGCUCUUGAUCGAAGCCCCGGUAAACGGCGGCCGUAACUAUAACGGUCCUAAGGUAGCGAAAUUCCUUGUCGGGUAAGUUCCGACCUGCACGAAUGGCGUAAUGAUGGCCAGGCUGUCUCCACCCGAGACUCAGUGAAAUUGAACUCGCUGUGAAGAUGCAGUGUACCCGCGGCAAGACGGAAAGACCCCGUGAACCUUUACUAUAGCUUGACACUGAACAUUGAGCCUUGAUGUGUAGGAUAGGUGGGAGGCUUUGAAGUGUGGACGCCAGUCUGCAUGGAGCCGACCUUGAAAUACCACCCUUUAAUGUUUGAUGUUCUAACGUUGGCCCCUGAUCGGGGUUGCGGACAGUGUCUGGUGGGUAGUUUGACUGGGGCGGUCUCCUCCUAAAGAGUAACGGAGGAGCACGAAGGUUGGCUAAUCCUGGUCGGACAUCAGGAGGUUAGUGCAAUGGCAUAAGCCAGCUUGACUGCGAGCGUGACGGCGCGAGCAGGUGCGAAAGCAGGUCAUAGUGAUCCGGUGGUUCUGAAUGGAAGGGCCAUCGCUCAACGGAUAAAAGGUACUCCGGGGAUAACAGGCUGAUACCGCCCAAGAGUUCAUAUCGACGGCGGUGUUUGGCACCUCGAUGUCGGCUCAUCACAUCCUGGGGCUGAAGUAGGUCCCAAGGGUAUGGCUGUUCGCCAUUUAAAGUGGUACGCGAGCUGGGUUUAGAACGUCGUGAGACAGUUCGGUCCCUAUCUGCCGUGGGCGCUGGAGAACUGAGGGGGGCUGCUCCUAGUACGAGAGGACCGGAGUGGACGCAUCACUGGUGUUCGGGUUGUCAUGCCAAUGGCACUGCCCGGUAGCUAAAUGCGGAAGAGAUAAGUGCUGAAAGCAUCUAAGCACGAAACUUGCCCCGAGAUGAGUUCUCCCUGAGACUUUAAGUCUCCUGAAGGAACGUUGAAGACGACGACGUUGAUAGGCCGGGUGUGUAAGCGCAGCGAUGCGUUGAGCUAACCGGUACUAAUGAACCGUGAGGCUUAACCUUACAACGCCGAAG